CCUACGGGUGGCAGCAGUGAGGAAUAUUGGUCAAUGGCCGGAAGGCUGAACCAGCCAUGCCGCGUGAAGGUCAGUGCCCUAUGGGCGUUAAACUUCUUUUGUGCGGGAGCAAUAAUGGUCACGUGUGGCCAGACGAGAGUACCGUACGAAUAAGCAUCGGCUAACUCCGUGCCAGCAGCCGCGGUAAUACGGGGGAUGCAAGCGUUAUCCGGAUUUAUUGGGUUUAAAGGGUGCGUAGGCUGUGAGGUAAGUCAGCGGGGAAAUGGCCCCGCUCAACGGGGUGAAGUGCCAUUGAUACUGCCUGGCUGGGAUGCGGAUGCGGUGGGAGGAAUGUGUGGUGUAGCGGUGAAAUGCAUAGAUAUCACACAGAACACCGAUUGCGAAGGCAUCUCACGAAUCCGCGAUUGACGCUGAUGCACGAAAGCGUGGGUAUCAAACAGGAUUAGAUACCCCUGUAGUC
rnacentral:rRNA from 1 species